GACAGAGGGUGCAAGCGUUGUUCGGAAUUAUUGGGCGUAAAGGGCGCGUAGGCGGCUUGCCAAGUCAGGGGUGAAAUCUUUCGGCUCAACCGGAAAAGUGCCUUUGAUACUGGCGAGCUAGAGGGAGGUAGGGGUGCGUGGAACUUCUGGUGGAGCGGUGAAAUGCGUAGAUAUCUGGAGGAACACCGGUGGCGAAGGCGGCAUCCUGGACCGACACUGACGCUGAGGCGCGAAAGCUAGGGGAGCAAACGGG
rnacentral:rRNA from 1 species